UCCAGCCGGCUUGGACGUAGUACGUAAAAUUGUGAUAAUAAUAAAAAAAUUUUAAAAAAUACGUGAAUGAAAACAACUGAAAUGUUACUGAACCCCAAAAAACUUGUUUAAGAAGCAUAAUCUCAACCUCAUAUAUAAAACAACAAAAAUUAAUAAUACAAAUAAUUUUUAAGUUGUUUUAAUUUUGACCUUUAAAACAAGAAAUCACUCUCAAAAUAAUACAGAUUUUUUGAGAAUAUGUAAAACUGUAUGAAAGACUUUUUCGAAAGCUAGAAUGGCGAUAUUAGCGAAUACAAUUUACUUAAGGUCGUAGUGGACUUUAAUAAAGCCAUAACCGAAUUCUUCGAAAACUCUGCAUCAUAUCAAGCUGCUGAGACUUUACGUCAUACUGGAAUGAAUUAAACUUGUUAAAAAUCAAAGAUUAACAAUUGGAAACUUUAUAAAUCGGAAAGAGGAGUAAAAGAAUAUGUUGACACUAAGUUUGCUAGUACUACAAAAAGUUGAGAAUCCCUAAAGGAAGUAAAAUUUGCACUCACCACUACAGAAACAGAAUAAAUGUAUCUCCUUUUUAUCUUUGCAGAGAUCUAUGAAUAUUUCGGUUAUAACAGAAUUGUACCAAACUGCCCUGUUUCUUCAUUUGAUGUAAAAGAUAUGCUAUUAGUUUUGUGAGUGCCUACAGAUUUAUCAACGAAUGGUAUAUUUGUUGUUCUCUUUAGAUGACCAAGGAAAGAUUUUUGCAUUCAUGUAAUGAUAAAAUUUUAAUGUAAUUCCAUUUUA